rnacentral:rRNA from 1 species
UGAGGGAUAUUGCGCAAUGGGCGAAAGCCUGACGCAGCGACACCGCGUGAAGGAUGAAGGUCUUAGGAUUGUAAACUUCUGUUAAGUGGGAAGAAAAGCAUGGUCCUAAUAUGAUCAUGAAAUGACGGUACCACUAGAGAAAGCACCGGCUAACUUCGUGCCAGCAGCCGCGGUAAGACGAGGGGUGCAAACGUUAUUCGGAAUGAUUGGGCGUAAAGGGUGCGCAGGCGGCUCAUUAAGUCAAUCGUUAAAUUCCCCGGCCUAACCGGGGGUCAGCGAUAGAAACUGAUAAGCUUGAGGAUGGAAGAGAGAAGUGGAAUUCUCGGAGUAGCGGUAAAAUGCGUAGAUCUCGAGAGGAACACCGAUGGCGAAGGCAGCUUCUUGGUCCAUUUCUGACGCUCAUGCACGAAAGCGUGGGGAGCAAACAGG